UACGGGGGGGGCAAGCGUUGUUCGGAAUUACUGGGCGUAAAGGGCUCGUAGGUUGCCAACUAAGUCGGACGUGAAAUCCCUCAGCUUAACUGGGGAACUGCGUCCGAUACUGGAUGGCUUGAGUUUGGGAGAGGGAUGCGGAAUUCCAGGUGUAGCGGUGAAAUGCGUAGAUAUCUGGAGGAACACCGGUGGCGAAGGCGGCAUCCUGGACCAACACUGACACUGAGGAGCGAAAGCGUGGGGAGCAAACAGG
rnacentral:rRNA from 1 species